rnacentral:rRNA from 1 species
AUUGAACGCUGGCGGCAUGCUUUACACAUGCAAGUCGAACGGUAACAGGUUAAGCUGACGAGUGGCGAACGGGUGAGUAAUGCAUCGGAACGUGCCCGGUCGUGGGGGAUAACACUUCGAAAGAAGUGCUAACACCGCAUACGAUCUAAGGAUGAAAGCGGGGGACCGUAAGGCCUCGCGCGAUUGGAGCGGCCGAUGUCAGAUUAGGUAGUUGGUGGGGUAAAGGCUCACCAAGCCGACGAUCUGUAGCUGGUCUGAGAGGACGACCAGCCACACUGGGACUGAGACACGGCCCAGACUCCUACGGGAGGCAGCAGUGGGGAAUGUUGGACAAUGGGCGCAAGCCUGAUCCAGCAAUGCCGCGUGCAGGAAGAAGGCCUUCGGGUUGUAAACUGCUUUUGUACGGAGCGAAAAGGCUCUCUCUAAUACAGGGGGCUGAUGACGGUACCGUAAGAAUAAGCACCGGCUAACUACGUGCCAGCAGCCGCAGUAA